GACAAACGAGGGUUCCCGGGAUCGGACCGACACAGCCAUGCCUCUGCGACUUGAUAUCAAAAGAAAGCUAACUGCUAGAUCUGAUCGAGUUAAGAGUGUGGAUCUGCAUCCUACAGAGCCAUGGAUGUUGGCAAGUCUUUACAAUGGCAGUGUGUGUGUUUGGAAUCAUGAAACACAGACACUGGUGAAGACAUUUGAAGUAUGUGAUCUUCCUGUUCGAGCUGCAAAGUUUGUUGCAAGGAAGAAUUGGGUUGUGACAGGAGCGGAUGACAUGCAGAUUAGAGUGUUCAAUUACAAUACUCUGGAGAGAGUUCAUAUGUUUGAAGCACACUCAGACUACAUUCGCUGUAUUGCUGUUCAUCCAACCCAGCCUUUCAUUCUAACUAGCAGUGAUGACAUGCUUAUUAAGCUCUGGGACUGGGAUAAAAAAUGGUCUUGCUCACAAGUGUUUGAAGGACACACCCAUUAUGUUAUGCAGAUUGUGAUCAACCCCAAAGAUAACAAUCAGUUUGCCAGUGCCUCUUUGGACAGGACUAUCAAGGUGUGGCAGUUGGGCUCUUCGUCACCAAACUUCACUUUGGAAGGACAUGAGAAAGGCGUGAAUUGCAUUGAUUACUACAGUGGUGGGGACAAGCCAUACCUCAUUUCAGGUGCAGAUGACCGUCUUGUUAAAAUAUGGGAUUAUCAGAAUAAAACAUGUGUGCAGACACUGGAAGGACAUGCCCAAAAUGUGUCUUGUGCCAGCUUUCAUCCUGAGUUGCCAAUCAUUAUCACAGGUUCAGAAGAUGGUAAGUUAGAAGGGUAUGUUUAUUCCUAUGCUGGUAACUACUCAGUGGGCAUUUAAAGCAAGUAAUGUCUCUGCAUUAUAAUUGGAGGUUUCCAAGGAUUUUGAUAUUUUUAUUAAAGUACCAGACUUAAGCUAUAAAAGAGUAAAGGGGCAUUAUUUUCAUCAUCAUCAUCAUCAUUAUUCUCAUGUAUUUUGAUUCUGUCACUUAAAUAAGAGGACUGUCAGCUGUCCU
rnacentral:sRNA from 1 species